rnacentral:rRNA from 1 species
AUGGGGUUCAGAGCAACAGGAAUAAGUAUUGUGUCCGAUGCCAGAAUUAAUGAUCUCAUCGGAAAGGUGGCUCAUGAAUUACUUACGAGUCCACGCGGGAGGAAUAACUUUGGAACUGGGGUGUGCAGGAGAGUCAGGUUUCGAUCCUGUGGAGCUGUGGGUUAUGGGCCCACCAUGUGGAUUAAAAGUAGGAAGGACAGUGACAUCUUGCACGAUCAUGUAAGCAAGGCAUGCCAGAGGAUAAUCUGUUGGUUAUGUCGGCAACAACAUCGGUACCAAGGGCGAGGGACGAAGAGAACCAUUUCCUGCUCGUUGAACGAGGCGGACCAGUAG